rnacentral:misc_RNA from 1 species
AAAGCGUGCGUUCCUUGCGCCGUCAUUUUAAUUAUUUUCGUCGAACUGUGCAGUGCUAAGUUAAAAAUCUCUACCAUCUCUUACACAUUUAAAAGAAAUUUCUGCCAAUCGCAUAUCGGAGAGGCUCGACACGUGCAAAGAGCUACUGGAGAUUUUAAAUUGAAUCAUAGGCAAAAUAUUUCGGAACUCGAACUCCAACAAAAUGAAUUACUUUGCGAAAGUAAUGCAUUCCAGUUUACUGAACAUGCGUGGGACAGACUCCAAAAAGUGUGUAAGAGGACUUCGAACCACUUUAGCACUACGAAAUGCAUUUAAACAGAAGAUUGCGAUCGACAAUCAGGAUUUCGACCAUACAACUCAAAAAUAUUUCCAGUAUGGUCAGGAACGGAAGGCCAGAUUGGAAAAAAGUGAUGCAAAAAAACUUAAAUUUUAGUACAUAGUUCAUACAUAUUACAUACAUACAUUA